GGAACGCUGGCACUCCGACUGAGUACCUCCGCCAAUCGAUGCUCCUAGUGCUCGCUGAGGACUCCAAGCACUCCAACUGACACUAUCAGCACUGCAGACCCCACUUCCAGCGAUGCAACUGCGCCGGGGUCUCUGCUGUCUCCACCCACCCUGGACCCAAGGCCAGGAUCCAGCUUCCAGUGGGUGAACCUCUCUUUCCCCAGAAAGCAGGAACAGGAACAAGCUCUUAGCAGAACUUAGUGAUCAUACACUGGGGAGUAUAGUGAUUACAGCAAUCCCCAGAGUGUAUUUCUCCAAUCCCCCAAACAUGAGCCAAGGCUUAAUGCUGGAACAAGACUGAUUUACUGGCACACAGAACUCACAAUUUAUGCAACACAAAACUCCUCCUCUGGGCCAGGCUAGAUAAUUGAGUUUCUACAAUACACAAAGCUCAAUUAUCU